GGCCACCAGGGAGUCAUUUCACUGAGGCGGCUGGUUCAAAACUGGGGACACAGCGGUCUAUAAGAAUGGAGUGUACUGGAUCAUGGGCCGCACCUCUGUGGACAUCAUAAAGAGUGGAGGCUAUAAGAUCAGUGCUCUGGAGGUGGAGCGACACCUGCUAGCUCACCCUGAUAUCACAGAUGUGGCUGUGAUUGGUGCUCGGGACGCCACCUGGGGACAGAAGGUGACAGCGGUGGUGCAGCUGAAGAGGGGGCGGAGCAUGACCCUGUCAGAGCUGAAGACCUGGGCCAGGUAACAGGCAACACGAAGGACAUUAAUGUCACACUAGUUUUAUAGCACCAUAAAGCAGCAUUAUUAAAACCAUUUUAUAAACACUAUAACUCCCAAUAACUGUGGAAGUAUUUAUUUCAAAACCAUUCAUUGUACCACAUCCAUAAAAGUGCUUAUAAAUUGUAGAUCCACUGUAUUACAAACGUGUGCCAGACCGAAUUCUAAUAGAUAUUCUAUAGCUAGCUGUCUCCUAGCUAGCUGUGCUUUGUCAUGCUGCUCCAUUCCAUCAAACAUUUGGUGUUCAGGGUUCUGUGGCUUUACUCUUUGGGAACACGCGACAAACCUUAAAUCGUGUGUUUUUGAAAAUAGAAUUGCGUCCACCGCAUUUAUUGAAUUAGAGGAAGACUUCACUGCUCAGUCCCCCGAGGAGUCAUCCAGACUUGUUUAUAGUAACUGCUGCUGAAGCCUCAAAAUCAAUAGCAACCUAACUACUGGAGAGAGAGAGAGAGAGAGAGAGAGACCACUCUCAUUUAACUGAAGAGGCCAAGGGCAGAUGUGGACUGAUGAAGGGAGCUGAGGAGAGAAUAGAGAGAGAGGGAGGAUGAGGAAAUGAGGGAUUUUGAUGGUGGAGGUCUGUCAGGCAUGCAAGCCGUUGCUGUUUCGGUCUUGGCUUC